AUGUUACAUAUUUUAGCUGCAGCUUUAUUGCUCUUUGAGACAGGUCUUCUCAGAGUUAUGUUUUCAACAGCAAGUACACAGACUCAUUCAGGACAGAGAGUCACUAUGUGGUGUUCACACAAUAUCCAUGUUUCUGGAUAUCUGUCCUGGUUCAAACAAUCAGACGAUGCUGUACCCAUUACUAUUGUGCGCAUGUUAUACACCGAAAGUCUUCAGAAAGUUGAGCCAACAUAUUUCAAUAAUUUCACAAAAGAUCGCCUGGUCAUGGAUCUGUUCAGCAACGUCACCACCCUAACAAUCACGCAAGUGAAAAUGUCUGAUUCUGGAUUCUACUUUUGUGGAACUACAGAUUAUGAUGUGAAAUUCGGCAAUGGAACCAGACUUGAAGUAAAAGAGAAAAAUUACACAGGAACCUCAAAAAAGGGGAACACAGAAGACAGAAGCAUAAAAAAGUCGCUGAAUGUCAAGCACAACAGCAGGAUGACAAGGAAAAUGAUUCAGUAUAUACUGCUGUGUAUUUCUCAAACCAAAGACCCAAAAGAGCAGGACGACAUACUGAGGACCCAAUUGCUGUGUACACUGAUACUACUUGAAAAAUAA